UAGUUGAUUUGUUUUUUUGAGACAGGGUCUUGCUUUAGUCCAGGCUGGCCUAGAACUUGUUAGGUAACUCAAUCUAAACUAAAAAGUCUGCUUCAGCCUCGAGGUGCUGGGAUUACAGGUGUAUACCGCUGUAUUUAGAAAAUGAUUUACAGUGUAUGAGCAUUUGUCUGCAUGUGUAUCUGCACCACAUAUAUGUCUAGUGCCUGCAGAAGAUGGAAAAGUGUUGCAUCCUCUGGAACUGGAGUUACUGAUGUUUGUCAGCUUCUGUGUGGAUUUGGAACUCGACCUGGGUCCUCUGGAAAGAACAGGUGUUGGGAAUUAAACCAGGUCAUGCAGUUAACUGUUGAUCCAUCUCUCCAGAACCUGCUGCCCGUAAGCAUUUAAGUUUUUCAGGUAAGGCACAAACAACUUCAUGGUUCAAAGUCACUGGUACAGUGAAUGGAGGAAUUUAAGAUUUGAACUGGCCGGUUACAGGAGCCAGAGAGGGGUAAGGGCCACACAACCACAGCCCCCGAGCUAAGAGAUGUUGGCUCCCUUCCAGCCUAGGAAAAGUAACACCUGACUCUUAACCAACUGGGGGCGGAGCAGGGGUGGAGCCAGGGAGACCCAGGUGGCCUUCCUGGGAGCCCGAGCACUGAGUGGCCUGGAGCAGCAUGAGGCAGAGCUGGGGACCAGAGCUGCUUAUUGUGGGAGCUGUGAUCGUGAUAGAGGGUCUUCAAGCAGCUCAGCGUGCAUGUGGGCAGCGUGGCCCUGGCCCUCCAGAGCCUCAGGAAGGCAACACGUUACCUGGCGAAUGGCCCUGGCAGGCCAGUGUGAGACGACAGGGUGUACACAUCUGCAGUGGCUCCUUGGUGGCAGAUACCUGGGUCCUUACAGCUGCUCACUGCUUUGAAAAGAUGGGCACAGCAGAACUGAGCUCCUGGUCCGUGGUCCUGGGUUCUCUCAAGCAGGAGGGGCUGAGCCCGGGGGCUGAGGAGGUGGGAGUUGCUGCCCUACAGUUGCCCAAGGCCUAUAACCACUAUAGCCAGGGAUCAGACCUGGCUCUGCUCCAGCUUACCCACCCCAUAGUUCACACAACCCUCUGCUUGCCCCAACCCACCCACCACUUCCCCUUUGGAGCUUCUUGCUGGGCCACUGGCUGGGACCAGAACACCAGUGAUGUUUCCAGGACCCUACGGAAUCUGCGCCUUCGCCUCAUCAGCCGCCCCACCUGUAACUGUCUCUACAAUCGGUUGCACCAGAGGCUGCUGGCCAACCCAGCAAGAUCUGGGAUGUUGUGUGGGGGUGCACAGCCUGGGGUACAGGGACCCUGCCAGGGAGAUUCUGGGGGACCUGUGAUGUGCCGUGAACCUGAUGGACACUGGGUCCAAGUUGGGAUCAUUAGUUUCACAUCAAAUUGUGCCCAAGAGGACACCCCUGUGCUGCUGACAGACAUGGCGGCACACAGUUCAUGGCUGCAGGCCCAUGUUGACAGAGCAGCUUUCUUGGUGCAGGACCCAGGAGUCGUGAAGAUGAGUGACGAGAACAGCUGUGUAGCAUGUGGCUCCUUGAGUAGUGGAGGACCCCAGGCAGGAGCCCUCUCCCAGUGGCCCUGGGAUGCCAGGCUGAAGCACCAUGGGAAGCUGGCUUGUGGCGGAGCCCUGGUAUCGGAGGUGGUGGUGCUGACUGCUGCUCACUGCUUUAUCGGGCGACAAACCCUAGAGGAAUGGAGUGUAGGACUGGGGGCUGGACCAGAGGAAUGGGGCCUGAAGCAACUCAUUCUGCAUGGGGCUUACAUCCACCCAGAAGGUGGCCAUGAUGUGGCUUUCCUGCUGCUGGCUCAGCCUGUGACGUUGGGCCCUGGCCUCAGGCCCCUCUGCUUGCCCUAUGCUGACCACCGCCUGCCUGACGGGGAACAUGGCUGGGUUCUCGGGCUGACCCGAGAAGCAGGCAUCAACCACCCCCAUACAGUGCCUGUGACAGUCCUGGGGCCAAUGGCCUGUAGCAGACAACAUGCAGCUUCUGGUAGCACAGGUGUUCCCAUUCUGCCAGGGAUGAUAUGCACCACUGUUGUGGGUGAGCCACCUCACUGUGAGGUGAGUUCCAGUUCCCAAUCUUUACUCAGCAGACCCCUGGCAUCCUCUCACCCUGAACAGACUCUGCCAGGCUUAGCUGCUAGCCCUGCUUCUCACCUGAAACUAAACCCUUCUGUGUCAGCUGGCCCCCAAACCCCUUCUAUCUGUGGCAGGAAGUUACCAAGUAUAACCUGCUCCUCUCUAACAGGGCCUCUCUGGGGCACCACUUGUACAUGAGAUCAGGGGGACAUGGUUCCUGGUUGGACUGCACAGCUUUGGAGACACCUGCCAAGGCUCUGCAAAGCCUGCAGUUUUUGCAGCACUUUCUGCCUAUGAGGAUUGGGUCAGCAAUCUAGACUGGCAGGUCUACUUCGCUGAGGAGCCUGAGCCUGAGCCUGAGCCUGGAAGCUGCCUGGUCAACUCAAGCCAACCAGCCAGUUGUUGACUGGUGACUCUAGUUUACUCACAGGACGCCAGAAAAGCCAGGCAACUCCCACGUCAACACCCAAUUCUACACUCCUGCCCUUCCCCUCCCUGUCUUAUGGUUCCCAGCCCUGAGGCAGGUCCAACAGCUGGCUGGCUGGGAAUGAGCCUGCCCAGAGAUGCUGUCCACGUGUGACACGACGACCCCGCCCCCAAGCUCUGCUUUCCAACAGAGAUGUCUCCAGUAUUCCCCAUACAAUCCUCAGAUACAAUCACA